rnacentral:rRNA from 1 species
CCUACGGGAGGCAGCAGUGGGGAAUAUUGCGCAAUGGGCGAAAGCCUGACGCAGCGACGUCGCGUGCGGGAUGACGGCCCUCGGGUCGUAAACCUCUGUCAGCAGGGAAGAACGGUCCCUGUGCUAAUCAGCAGUGAAUUUACGGUAUCUGCAAAGGCAGCACCGUCUAACUCCGUGCAAGCAGCCGCGGUAAUACGGACGGUGCGAGCGUUAAUCGGAAUUACUGGGCGUAAAGCGAUCGUAGGCGGUAUGUCAAGUCAAGGGUGAAAUCCCCGCGCUCAACGUGGGAACUGCCUUUUGAACUGGCAUACUGGAGUGUGUGGAAGGUUAGUGGAAUUCCAGGUGUAGGAGUGAAAUCCGUAGAUAUCUGGAGGAACAUCAGUGGCGAAGGCGACUAACUG